CAUGUCUCAACUAGAUGUCUAACAGACACAACAUGGUUGAAACAAAUGUCUCCUCCCCCUGCGCUUUCUCUCUGUCUCCAGAGAUGUGUCUCCCUUAUUCUUUCUAUUUCAGGCAAUAGCACCAUUGUUCACUCAUUUGUUCAGGCCAUUUGUCUCUGUCUCUGUCUCUGUCUCUCUCUCUGUCUUUGUCUCUCUCUGUCUCUGUCUCUCUCUCUCUGUCUCUCUCUGUCUCUCCCUCUCUCUCUCUCUCUCACUAGGAAUUGAACUCAGGACCUUGUGCUUGCCAGGCAGGCGCUGUGCCAUUGAGCCACAUCCCCACCCUUUAAUUCCUCUCCUGUCCUUGUCUCUAUCUGACCCAUCAGCACAGCUAUUGAGUUUUACUUCCUGAAUAUCUUAUGUCAUUGACUCUAAGACCCCUUUCUCCCAUGUGACAAUGUCUAUGAAUUGAGACUGAAUCUUAUAAUUGGUGGCAUGGUAUGGUUUAAUUAAUGGUGUUUUCUUUCUACAGUGACAUUCCACUGCCCUGGCCAUCUGUCUCCUGCACUAGCAAUCUGGUCCGAGCCCUCUCCCCCCACACCACAGCAGUGGACUGAUAACUAAUCUCUUGCGCUUCCACUCUUGGCCCUCUUCAGUCUGUUCAGCGCCCAGUGACCAGAGAAUUUUUUUCAAAUUAGAAAUCAGCUUUCCCUGUUCUUGUGCAGAAAGUUUGAACAGCUUCCGAUUGUAUUCAGAAUGAAUCCUAAAGUCUUCCCCACAGCAUGUAAUCCUCUGUGGAAUGAGGGCGCCUCGCUUCCAGCUAUUUUUCGUGCUGUGCUCCAGCUCAAAUUCUCAAGCUUUCUUGACAACUCUCAGACAGAUCCAAGCAAACACUGUCUGGAAACCCCUUUCUCUGCACUCAUCUCCUACCUUUAUUUUCUUUUUGUUCAAAUGCCAUCUCCCCACAGGACCACGCUGGCUGAAACCAUCAUCUCCUUCCCUCUCUGUUUUCUUUGCAACACUUAUUGAAAAUCCUGUACUUCAUUUAAUUGCUCAUCUUCUUCCCCAACCCACACAGUAUAAAUUCCUUAGGAACAGGGACCUUGCUUCUGUCCUCUGACCCCUAGCAUGUAUUGGAUGCUCUCUAUAUAUUUGUUAAAUGAAAGACUCAACGAGCGGAAAUUCAAAGUCCUGAGAAGCGUAGAUAGUAUCACCUCAGAGCAGCUCUUUACUCUUGUCUGUCUCUAUUUCUGCAGGAAGAAGUGACCAUUGUACCAGCCAGCCCUGCUGGGUGAGGUACAGGAGCGAUGUGGGUUGUUUCAGUUGUACUCUGAGGAGCAGAGUUACUCACCACCGUGAGCUGAAGAGGCGAAUCCGGACAGGUCUGCUUGGCAGCCAAUCAUCGGGCUGCUGUGAGUGGGCUUUGUUCAUGGGCUUCGGAUGUACCUGCGUUGCUCUCUCUUCACACAGAUGCCACACCAAAGACUGAGCGGGCCAAGCUGAAGCAGUUUAAAUUGAUCCUCUGAAGGUGACAUUUGCCUAAUUGGAUCACGGAAAGCACACUUUUCUCAAAGGCUUUCCAAACACUUGGUUCUGCAGUGUGUGAGUCAGGCAGACCUUCAUCCCCAAGAGACUUGAACCUUGAGGGUCAAAGUACCACUCUAUCUGCUCUGCCUUCCGUCCCGAAUCCAGCUCCAGCUGCACUUCUUGGAGAGGAAGUGCUCUGUCCUCAGCUCUGUGCCAAUCAGGAGGAUAAUAAACAAAACACCCUUGAAGCUAUAUGGAUGGAUGAUACCCAAGAGGUAUCAUCUCUUCACAAGAAAAAGAUUCUCUUCAACCAAGAUGCAACUAAAACCAAUAUUUUUUUUAAAGAAGGAUCACAUUGAGAUAUUUAUUUAUUUAUUUAAUUUUAUUUAAGGAGAAAAGAAAAAAAAGCAGAGAAAGGGUACAAAUUAUACAGAUUUACAGAAAAAAAUGAACAGUAGGAAAUCACUAGUUAAUGGAUUACAUAUUGUUAUCUUAGAAAUAAUUGUUCAAGUCACAAAAUUAAAGCUUGUAAAGUGGACAUUCCAUCAAUGAUACUGCAAACAGUUCUGUUCAAUGAUCCAAUAAAACUCUGUGAUAUCAUUUUCUAUCUUAUACACUUAAAUAUACAUGCAGUUAUAUAGUUUAGAGCACAUUCUUUUCCUCUCUUUUGUACCAUGACUAUUACACAUUUUGGGUUUCAUUGCUCCCACGGUUCUUAUUACUUUUUUGGACGAGAGUAAAACCAAAUGUGACAUAACAGAACAGAAUCGGUCAAGUCAAAAGGGUGGACAUAAUAGAUAAUGUAAAAACAUAAUACAAGGUGAUCAACAAUGGUUACCAUAAUGCCUCCCGCUAUCUCUAAUAGAAUUGCCAAUAUCGUUAGUUAAAAUACAAUUGAACAAAACAGUAAAAAAUAAAACCGACAAAACCAAAACAUUGGAGACAUUGUAGGUCUUCAAAAGUAGAUAAAAGUCAACGAGAAUGGGCGUUAUAAUGAAUCUCAUUAUCUUCACAGCUGAUGCCUAAACUUUCGAACCUGAUACUAUCCAGCAAAACAGAAUAGGGGAACAUCAGUUAAAAACCAGAUGGUGAGAGUAAUACAGGGCUUUAAAUCGAGGUAAUGGAAAGUCAAAGUGGGUUACUAUAAUAUAUCCUGCUAUUUUUUCCUUUAAUUAAAAG